GUUUAUUCCCUCCUCUAUUGUUUAUUCCCUUCUUUAUUGUUUAUUCCCUGCUCUUAUUGUUUAAUUCCCUCCUCUUAUUGUUUUCCCUCCUCUAUGUUUAUUCCCUCUCUUAUUGUUUAUUCCCUGCUCUUAUUGUUAUUCCCUCCGCUUAUUGUUUUUCCUUCUCUUAUUGUUUAUUCCCUCCUCUUCUUGUUAUUUCCCUGUUCUUAUUGCUUAUUCCGGUUCUUAUUGUUUAUUCCCUCCUCUUUUUUAUUUUCCCUCCUCUUAUUGUUUUAUUCCUGCUCUUAUUGUUUAUUCCCUGCUCUUAUUGUUUAUUCCCUGUUCUUAUUGUUUAUUCCCUGCUCUUAUUGUUUAUUCUCUGCUCUUAUUGUUUAUAUUCCCUGCUCUUAUUGUUUAUUCCCUGUUCUAUUGUUUAUUCCCUGCUCUUAUAUUUAUUCCCUGCUCUUAUUGUUUAUUCUUUGUUUAUCCCUGCUCUUAUUGUUUAUCCUGUUCUUGUUUAUUCC
rnacentral:lncRNA from 1 species